rnacentral:rRNA from 1 species
UAGAGAUAGAAGUUACUUCGGUACAUCGGUGACAGGUGGUGCAUGGUUGUCGUCAGCUCGUGUCGUGAGAUUGUUGGGUUAAGUCCCGCAACGAGCGCAACCCCUAUUGUUAGUUGCCAUCAUUCAGUUGGGCACUCUAGCGAGACUGCCGGUAAUAACCGGAGGAAGUGGGAUGACGUCAAAUCAUCAUGCCCUUAUGACCUGGGCUACACACGUGCUACAAUGGUUGGUACAACGAGUUGCGAGUCGGUGACGGCGAGCUAAUCUCUUAAAGCCAAUCUCAGUUCGGAUUGUAGGCUGCAACUCGCCUACAUGAAGUCGGAAUCGCUAGUAAUCGCGGAUCAGCACGCCGCGGUGAAUACGUUCCCGGGCCUU